rnacentral:rRNA from 1 species
GAUGAACGCUGGCGGCGUGCCUAAUACAUGCAAGUCGAGCGAACGGACGAGAAGCUUGCUUCUCUGAUGUUAGCGGCGGACGGGUGAGUAACACGUGGAUAACCUACCUAUAAGACUGGGAUAACUUCGGGAAACCGUAGCUAAUACCGGAUAAUAUUUUGAACCGCGUGGUUCAAAAGUGAAAGACGGUCUUGCUGUCACUUAUAGAUGGAUCCGUGCUGCAUUAGCUAGUUGGUAAGGUAACGGCUUACCAAGGCAACGAUGCAUAGCCGACCUGAGAGGGUGAUCGGCCACACUGGAACUGAGACACGGUCCAGACUCCUACGGGAGGCAGCAGUAGGGAAUCUUCCGCAAUGGGCGAAAGCCUGACGGAGCAACGCCGCGUGAGUGAUGAAGGUCUUCGGAUCGUAAAACUCUGUUAUUAGGGAAGAACAUAUGUGUAAGUAACUGUGCACAUCUUGACGGUACCUAAUCAGAAAGCCACGGCUAACUACGUG